CAGUUGCAAAAGAAUCCUGUAAAUAAAUUCAAAACUCAGCAAAAGAAGAAACAGUUUUAAACAUGGUUAAUUUAAUGAAUAAUUGGAAGGUCUCAUUGUCAUCAUUUAACAGCAGGUUAUUAGCAGCAGUUUUUCAGAAAAAUGAAGGAUAGCUGUCAAUGGUAAAUGCAGCAUCAGAAUAUUCCCCAGGAAAGUUUACUCAGAUAGUUUGGGAAAGUAUGAAUAAGAAAUUAGGGAGGGAAACAGAUAACCAGAAAACAAAGAUUUUAAAAGAAAAGAAUUGCCACUAUUAGUAAUAUGAUAUAUCUGACUGGGAGCAACAUGUACUAUUCAAUAUGGAAGGAUUGACAAUUUUGACUGAGAACAAAGUGAACUCUAAUAAUGCUAUGACUAUCAAUCAAUACUUGACUGAAUCAGAGGAGUAAACUAUUUACAUAUUUGUAAAUAUAACAGUUAUAUGUUUGCUUGA